CCAAAAACCCUUUCCUGUGGGCUGGGAGCAGCCAGAGGCAUGGUGGCCGGGAAACCCCUUCCUCUGGACCAGAACCAGUGGGAUGGUGGCUCAGAAGCCCCUUCCUCUGGGCCAGGAGCAGCGGGACAGAAGGUGACCCAAAAGCCUUUUCCUGUGGGCUGGGAGCAGCCGGAGGGAUAGUGACCGGGAAGCCCCUUCCUCUGGACCAGGAGCAGUGGGCCGACGGCUCAGAAGCCCCUACCUCUGGGCCGGGAACAGUGGGACUCAGUACCUUGGUCUGGUGGUCUGUUGUCCUCUGCGUCUUUGUAUUGUGGAAUCAGGUGGCAGCCUGUCUGCAGCAGGGUGAUUCGGUGUCUUCCGCGUGACUCAGGACCUCGGUAGGGCGUGCACAGACCUGCCUGUCUGCAGCGGGCUGAUUUGGCGUGUGUUCCGCACAACUGGGGACCUCGGUGAGGUGUGGGCAGACCUGCCUGUCUGCAGCGGGGUGAUUCGGCGUCUUCAGCACGACUCAGGACCUCGGUAGGGCGUGCACAGACCUGCCUGUCUGCAGUGGGCUGAUUCGGCGUGUUCUGUGCGACUCAGGACCUUGGUAGGGCAUGGGCCUACAUAACACAUCUUAAAUCUUUUUGUAUUCCCUUCCCCUCCUCUCCCUCCAUCUCUUGGUCCCUUUCUCAUUGCAAAAGAUGGAUCUCCCUGUUAACUAAUGUCCAUCUUUUAUUUUCUUCUUUAAAUGAUUUAUACUUUGGGUUUCUCAUAUAAGGGAAAUCUAGCAAUAUUUAAGCUUGUGUUUAAUUUAUUUCAGUUAACUUUAUGGUCCCAGGGUACAUUCAUUUUCCUAUAGGCAGUUCAAAUUUAUCCUUCAUUAUGGCAGAGUAGUACUCCAUUGUGUAUUCAUCUAUUGCUGGACAUAUAGACUUGCUUUCAAGAUUUAGCUAUUAUGAGUUGUGCUGUUAUAAACAUGGGUAUGCAUGUACACUGUAGUAGGAUGUCUUUAGCUCUUUUAGGAAGAUACUUAGAAGGGGAAUAGCUGGGUCCAGUGGAAUUUCUAUUUUUAGUUUUUUAAGUCCACUUUUUCUGAAAAUAGGAUUGCUACUCCUGAUCAUUUUUAGGCUCCCGUUUCAUGGGCUAUUUUUUUCUAUCCUUUGAUUUUUAGUCUUAUGAAUUUUUUUUCAGACAAAAUGUGUUUCUUGUAUAUAGCAUAACAUUGGAUUUUAUUUCUUUAUUGAACUUACCAGUGUCCUUUAAUCAGGGAGUUGAGACAGUUCACAUUGAGCAUUAUUACUGAAGGGUACAGACUUAUUCCUGUCAGUACAUUUUCUCGAUGAUUCCUUCCCCAACCCUCACCCCACCCUUCUGCUUAACUGCUCACCCUACCUAGUGUGUUCAUUUCCCUAUAUGUUUUGGCAUUGUUGCCUUCAUUUUCUCUUUCUAGAAUGUCUUUGAGAAUUUUUGGUAGUACUGGCUUGGUGGUCUUGAAUUUCUUGAGGGCUCUUUGUUAUUUCUCUAUCAAUUUUGAAAAAUAGUUUUGCAGGAUAUAUUAGUCUGGGUUAGAGGUUGUUUUCUUUUUUCUUUUUAUUCAUUUAUUUUUGUUUUGUUUUUUGGUUUUAGUUUUUGGUAGUUUUGAGACAGGUCUCACUAUGUAGUUCAGCCUUAAACUCAUUGUGUAGCCCAGGGUGGUUUUGAGCUUAUGAUGAUCCUCCUGCCUCAGCCUCCUGUGUCCUGGAAUUAUAGGCAUGUGCCACCAUGCCUGGCUGGAAGUUGUUUUCCUUUUAGGAUCUGAAACACUUCACUCCAAGCUCCCCUGCCCUUUGAGGUUGGUGUUGCAAAGUCUGCUGUAAUUCUAAUGGGUUUACCUUUAUAAAUGAUUUGUUGCUUUCACAGCAACAUCUCUCACAGCCUUUAUGAUUCUGUCCUUGUGUUGGACAACUACGAUUUUGAUUAUGAUAUGUUGUGAAAAAGCCUUUUUCUAGUCAUGACUAUUUGGGGUUCUAUAUGCCUUGCUUAUCUGUAUUAAAUUCUUUCCCCAGACAUGGAAAGUUUUCUAUAAUUUCUGAAAAAAAAAAGUUUUUUACACCAUUUGAGCGAUCUUAUUUUUCACUGACUACAGUUAACUUGGAUUAGUCUUCCUUGCAUUAUCUAGCAGUUGUUGGAUACAUGUUCCAUGUUCUCUUGUUGUUUUUAUGGAAUUUUUUAGUAUGUGACCAUCUACAUCAGCCUUGUCUUCUAGUUCUGUCACUGUCCUCUCACUUUUGCUGCCUAUACCAUCAAUAUAGUUUUUUAUCUCCUGGAUUUCUGUUUGGGACCUUUCUGUUUGUCACUUCCCAGGUGAAAAUUUCUCUUUUUGUAUUACUACUCAAUUCUUAAAGAACCAGUUUUUCUUUGGCUGAUGUAAUCUCGCCCUUGAGCGUCACAGCAUCAUGGAACUAUUAAGGCCUCAGACAGCCCUAAUCAUAAUUUAAUUGUGAAAUGAUAUUUUCCCCAAAACUAUGUAGAAUGGCUCCCGACAGAGAUAUCUUUCAUUAAUGUCUGUUUUCCAGUGAUCCACUGUGGGUGUAGCUAACUGUAGACAUUUGCUUCUGUCCCAAGAUCCAACCUCUCUGUUUAUUUAUGGAGAGAGGAUGCAGUGUAAUUGGCUCAGCAGCUAGCCCUCUGGAAAUGAAUUGUUGAUGACACAGACAAACCAGAUAUUGCCAUACAGUAAAAGCCAAUCAGUAGCAAUAAAUAUGCCACCCUUGAAAUAGCAAUGAAAUCAGCAACAAUAAUACAAUCAAAGACAAAUGACACUGACAUAUCUAUGACCAAUAAAAGCUACCACUGUACCACCCUUAAUAAUGGAAAAGAGAUCUGUAACUAUAAUAUAGACAUAAAGACAAACCAAAUAUUGACAUACAGUGAAUAUCUACUAAAUGCAAAUCUAUGUCACUAUUGACAAUAGAGAAAAUGCAACAAUAAUUACAUAGUCAACUAAUUAUCUAAAGAUUAAUAAAUCCUAAUUAGUAAUACUAGUAAAGAUGAAGAAAGUAUAAAAGGGAAAUGGAAGAAAUAAAAUUUGAAGUAUAAAGAAAAGGAAGAUGAGAAGGAUUACAGAAAAGUGAAAUAAAGAAUCCUAUGAAGGGGUAAAAGAAAAUUAUAGAAUUAGAUAAAAGUAACAGAAAUGAACAAAGAAGAAAAAAACAGCAAAAUAAAAAAACAAAAAAGCACUAAGAGAAAAAAAGAAAAGAACCCCCACCUAAAAAAAAGAAUCAAUGAAGCAAGAGAAAUGAGUCCGAAAAAUUUCCAUUAUUUUGAAUGAGUGAUUUGUUUUCAGGGUCUACAGUCUUGGAAUCCACCAGUACAGGGGAGGGAUAAUGAGUCACUACCAACACCUAUUUUGUUUCCACACUCACGUUUUUGUAUGCAAAUACUAAAUCAUGCUCCACCUUUCCUGCUGGACAUGGUUGGUCAGUGAUAUCCAUCCUAAGGCUGUAGUCAUUCCAGCUGCUGCCAGUUUCCAGGGUCCUCUGUGUGCCCAAGUGAUGGCUUUCUCCACCUAGCUUAAUACCCUAUGGGUCUGUGAAGUUCCCCUUACCCAACUCCAGGGGCACCUUUGUCCAUACAGUCCAGGCUGUGGCAACCACCCAAGCCAAGGCAUAUACCUCAUCAUGCUGGAAGAUGGGGAAAACUAACUCACCACUGGGCUGUGUGUUGGGUAUAGGCAGUGGGGCAGGAGGAGGGGGUGAAGGAGUCCUCUGGAUUUAAUGGCAGUACUUUCAGACCCAGCUGCCUCUGAAAACCACACAUGACAGCCCUGGCUUCUGAAUUUGGAAAGUGGUACCCCUGUGUCUUUUCCCAGCCUGAGUUUAAACUUCUCAGGGAGUCUAACCCUACCUUGUACCUUCUUCACUACCUUCUCUUAUGACCAUCUCCCACCCAUUUGCGUGGUAGAGUGACCCCAGAAACCCUGAAGUAUAGUUGUUGUAUAGCUCAGUUUUAACCCCUUCCCAAAGUGGCUCCUGAUUAAAGUCUCAAAUAUGGUGGGCGCUGCACUGGAUUUCUUCCCCAACUCUAACCUGCCAUCCAGAAGAAUUAUUUUCAAAGUAAAACCCCUCUGUUUUUGUAGUUUACUAUAACUUUUCUUAGGAUUAGAGCUGCCAGUACAGUUCAUUGUCCCUGGAGCUGCCAACUCUCUUACCUUGUAUUAGUGGAGACAGGUCUGCCUCCCUGAGAGCCAGAGUUACUGUUCCAGAUGCUUUGUUCUUUUCUCUACGUUGUGUUCAGUUUCUCUGUAGUUUCUAGUUUUCUGUUGGCUCUUUGUUGAUUCCCAGAGACCUACUUCUUUUUGUCUUUACUAAGUUGUUUUCCAAGUGUCUUGAUUCCAGGUCAAGGAGAGGCUGUAUUUUGCUGCAGGUUUUUUUCACCAAACCAGAGGUGUGUGUAUGUCCACCUGCAUGGCCUGUGUAGGGCCUCUAAGAAUAAUCUUUAAAAACAUACAAAUUCACCUUGUUCUGUGUGUCCUUUGAAGUCAUGUAGAAAGAUAAAAUCAGCAUUUCUUGUGUAGAAUAGAAUAUGUGGCUUGCCUUUGGUAUCUAAAAAGCAUGGACUUUCUUUAUAUAAUUAUUUUAAGAGUCUUCCCACUUCAGUUUUACAAUGUUUGUGGUAUCUCACAAGUUCCAAGAUCUGAUGAGGACUGUCCACUGAAUCUCUGUCACAGACUGGUCCUUUUUCGUGUUCAAGUCAGAAAGAGGGCUUUCUAGGUUAUCUCAUAUAAUUAGGAAAAACUAUUUUGAUUUUUCCAGCUUUAAUCAUAAGUAUUGCUAAAAGAGGCAGUUUGAGAGUCAAGAUACACCAUUCACUAUUAAUUUGACAUCUGUUAAUUCUCUAUCUUCAUGACCCACCCAAAGCUUUCUGAGUCUUAAAACUUUGCUUUGAGAUGAUGCUACCUUACACAUUUAUAUAUGUAACAGUUUGUGGGUAAUUUAUUGGAAUUAGAGCUUUUACGUCAAUCAUGGAUAACCUUUUUUAAAAAAUCAAACUAAUAACCACUGAAUACAAAAGUGGAAAUGGAAAAUCUAUCAGCAUAGCUACCCUAAAAGGAACAUUUUAAGUCUGUAAUACUUUAAGCACUGCCCCUUAAGAUGUUAAGAGAUGGGCAAGGCGAGACAUGCCUGUAAUCCCAGCAAUCAGGAGGCUAGGCAGGAGGAGGAUUGCCACCAGUUCAAAGCCAGCCUAGGGUACAUAGAGUUCAGUGCUGGCCUGAAUGUCUGAACUAUAUAGGGAGAGCCUGCCUCAAAAAAAAAAAAAAAAGGGAAGGAAAAAUUAAACAAACUUCUAAAAAUUAAAUAAAACUUAAAUGAAAAUUCUGUAAAUUAUAUUUUCUUGUAGAUUAAUCUCAGUUGUUUUGCUACUUGUGUUCUAGUUUUGAUGAAGCACAAGGUUUCAAAGGAAAAGUAUUCGAUUCUUAGUCCAUAUAAGCUUUAAGAAAAUUGAAUAAACUGUUCAGAAUAUAGUACAAAUUAUUCUUUUAAUAAUAGCAAUACAAUUAUUUUUAUAACAUCAGUUUAACAGUAGCCUACUAAAAGGGUAUUGCUAUUAAAAUGAUAAAUUAUCCUUCUGAGCAAAUUGAAAAAGCAACUUAUCUAAGCAAAUUGGACAGUUACCUUUUGACUAAAGAUGUCAUUUUUAGUUAUACUUUUUGAACAAAAUCUUUGUACAAGAAUAUCUAUUCUGUUCAUUUAAUUUUGUGAUUUAAAAAAAUUCCCAAAGAUGGAAAAUAUGUUUUCUAGUUCCUCAUCAUUAUGUAAUUCCUAACAUAUACUUUUGUAAAAUUUGAUAUUUUAUUAUGUGUUUACUGUAAGACCAUGGGCCUUACCAACUGCUCCGAGGAGCUGACUACAGUGAGGAUCACCCAGGAGGGAACACACUGGACAAAUUGAGAAAGUGAAACAGACCUUUAUUAGUCUGACCAGACGGCACCCUCCAAGCUCCAAGGGUCUCACUAUGAGGUUCAGACUGGCCUUGAACUCACUAUGUAGCCCAGGCUGGUCUCGAACUCGCAGCGAUCCUCCUGCCUCAGCCUCCUGAGUGCUGGGAUUACAGGUGUAUGACACCAUGCCUGGCUUAGAACAUAAUUUAUUUUGAUUUGACUUCUGAUACUAUCACAAGACUUAAGUCUGUAGUUACAAAACCUAACUACUACAGAAGAGGUAUAUUACAUUUUUUGGAACUUAAAAAAUGUUUAACAGAGGCUAAGAUAUAGCUUAAUAAUAUGUACAGCAUGUAUGUGGCCCUGGAUUCAAUCUAAGCACCAAAAUACAUUAAAAAAAUUUUAUUUAACUGAGAACCAUGGUAUGUGUACAAGAUUAAAAAGCUAUUCACUGUCCCUUUUAAUCUUUUCAUUUUGAGCUUUACAAUUAAAAGAAUGUUUUUGGAAAAGAAUUCCUGAAGUAUUAUUUUUAUGUAUAAAUAAAGUUUCAUCUAUAUCUGAGAA
rnacentral:lncRNA from 1 species